rnacentral:lncRNA from 1 species
GGUGGACUGGGUGAUUGACUUUGAUUAUGUUAUGUUUUUGUACUUUUGGUUUUCUCUGUGUAAUUUUUGUUUUUAUUUAUUUAUUCAGUUUUUAUUUUCUUUUGCUUUGAUGUAAUCACCUAUUAUGGGUUGGCUUAAUCUAAUGAAUUUGAUUUGGUUUACCUCCAUUUUCCUGUUUAUUUCGUUAGAUAUGUGACUAUGUCUGACUAUUGGUUUUCUUGAUCACUUACACCAAAUACUUGGGUGUCCUCUCUUUCAGUCCCCUGACUGUAGAUACUGUUGUUUAUGAUUGG